GGCAAGAUGGCCGAGCGGUCUAAGGCGCUAGCUUCAGGUUUGGGCGACUAUCCUUCGGGGUAGUCAACCGCUUGGACUUGCUAGUGUGGCAACACGCGUGGGUUCGAAUCCCACUCUUGUCA
rnacentral:tRNA from 1 species